GACGAACGCUGGCGGCGUGCUUAAUACAUGCAAGUCGAACGGGCCUUGUCCCCUUUUUUUUGGGGGAGGGGUUAGUGGCGCACGGGAGAGUCACACGUGUGUAACCCGUCCCCCACUUCUGGAUCAUCGCUUGAAAGGGUGGCUUAUACGGGGAGGUUUUGACCGGCCUCAUGCGUGGGUUUGGAAAGGUCAGGCCGGCAGUGGUUGAUUUGGUCGGGGUUGGUCCCGCGGCUGAUCAGCUUGUUGAUGGGGUGAUCGUCUGCCAAGACCUUGACGGGUAGCCGGCCUGAGAGGGUGGGCGGUCACCCUGAGACAGAGACGCGGCCCAGACUCCUGCGGGAGGCAGCAGUGGAGAAUAUUGCACAGGGGGCGCACGCCUGGUGCAGCGGCGCCGCGUGAGAGGAAGAUGCCUUCAGGUUGAAAACCUCUUUCGCCAGUGGAAAAGAUCCUGCUCUUUGUGGUGGGAUUGACGGUAGCUGGGAUAAGGAAGCGCCGGCUAACUACGUG
rnacentral:rRNA from 1 species